CCACUGUCAAGGGGAAGCAGGCCAGGCAGUUCCCUUGAACUACCCUGAGAUGGCUCUGCCCAGCUGACCAGAGACCCAGUUCACUGCUCCUUUGAAUCCUCCAGCAGUAUUCCAGGAGUCUGAUGAAGCCUUCACCUUCUCCUAUUUGAAGAUGCCAGCCGGGCUGCCUUUGGCAAUGGCCGAGCAGUUGCGGCCUACCCUGCUAGGACAGUCUCAGCUUCUGAGUGUGGCCGAAGCCUUUCACCUGAGCCCCUGGGCAUUCCUGGGAAAUGGUGAGUAGUGAAAUUAUCAGGUUUU